rnacentral:rRNA from 1 species
CCGCUGAAAUUUAAGCAUAUAAUUAAGCGGAGGAAAAGAAACUAACCAGGAUUCCCUCAGUAAGGGCGACUGAAGCGGGAAAAGCUCUAACCGAAGAAUUGUGGUGUGUUUUUGCGCUAAUUGACAGGGCCAAGUCCCUUGGAAAAGGGCAGCAGAGAGGGUGAUACUCCCGUUCGCCUUGUUUAUGGAGCAAACACAUUAGAGUCGAGUUGUUUGGGAUUGCAGCUCAAAGUGGGUGGUAAAUUCCAUCGAAAGCUAAAUAUUGGUGGGAGACCGAUAGCGUACAAGUACCGUGAGGGAAAGAUGCAAAGAACUUUGAAAAGAGAGUUAAAGAGUACCUGAAAUUGCUGAAAUGGAAGCGAAGGAAACCAGUGUCGUGUCUGGCAUAUUUCCCUGUUUGCUUGCAGACAGGGCGCUGUGUCUGCACUGGUCAGGUUUGUUUGGGACGUGCAGAACUCGUGCGGGUCCUGAAUGAGUCUGGCGAAAUGGUUUUCUUUACCCCGUCUUGAAACACCGGACCAAGG